rnacentral:rRNA from 11 species
GUGCAGAUCUUGGUGGUAGUAGCAAAUAUUCAAGUGAGAACCUUGAAGACUGAAGUGGAGAAAGGUUCCACGUGAACAGCAAUUGGACGUGGGUUAGUCGUUCCUAAGGGAUAGGAGAAAUCCGUUGAAAGGUGGCCGUUUGGCCCUUUGACCGAAAGGGAAUCGGGUUAAUAUUCCCGAACCAGGACGUGGAUGUUGAGUGGCAACACGAGCGAAGCCGGGGACAGCUGCGGGGGCCCCGACGAGAGUUUUCUUUUCUUGUUAACGAGUGCAUCGACCCCGGAAUCGGAUUGCCCGGAGAUUGGGUCGACGGCUCGGGAAAGGCGGUUACUUUUGGACCGCUUCGGUGCGCCCUCGACGCUCCUUGAAAACCCGGCAGCGUGUCUUAUUCGCACUCCUGGACGUACUCAUCACCGCCGCAGGUCUCCAAGGUUAGCAGCCUCUAGUCGAUAGAAGAAUGUAGUUAAGGGAAGUCGGCAAAAUAGAUCCGUACCUUUGGAAAAAGGAUUGGCUCUCAGGGUUGGGCCUAGGGGUCUCCUGGCCGAUGUUGCGGCUGCUGGACCUGUCUGCUUCACGGCGGACGGGUCCGGCGGCUCUUCGUAGGCCUGGAGGAAUCCACGGCGAUGAACAACCAGCUGAGAACUGGGACGGACAAGGGGAAUCC